rnacentral:rRNA from 1 species
UACGUAGGGUGCGAGCGUUGUCCGGAAUUAUUGGGCGUAAAGGGCUCGUAGGCGGUUUGUCGCGUCGGGAGUGAAAACCAGGUGCUUAACACCUGGCUUGCUUUCGAUACGGGCAGACUAGAGGUAUUCAGGGGAGAACGGAAUUCCCGGUGUAGCGGUGAAAUGCGCAGAUAUCAGGAGGAACACCGGUGGCGAAGGCGGUUCUCUGGGAAUGACCUGACGCUGAGGAGCGAAAGUGUGGGGAGCGAACAGG